UACGGAGGGUGCAAGCGUUGUCCGGAUUUAUUGGGUUUAAAGGGUGCGUAGGCGGCCGAUUAAGUCAGGGGUGAAAUACCGCGGCUCAACCGCGGGGCUGCCCCUGAUACUGUUCGGCUUGGUGCCAUGGAGGGCAGGCGGAAUUUGCGGUGUAGCGGUGAAAUGCAUAGAUACCGCAAGGAAUGCCGGAUGCGAAGGCGGCCUGCUGCCAUGGAUACGACGCUGAUGCACGAAAGUGCGGGGAUCGAACAGG
rnacentral:rRNA from 1 species